CUACAUGCUGCCCCUGUAUGAUUGUCUCGCCAACAAAAACAAACCCUUUAAAUUAACCCAUGCAGCCGAAAAUGCUACAUCUGUCCUUACACCGGACCAUGGUGGUAAACAAAGACCAAUAGCAUACUACUCCACCAGAUUGGACCCUGUUGCCAGGUGUGCCCCCUCAUGUGUUAGGGCAGUGGCGGCUGUUACUGCCCUCGUGGACAAAG